rnacentral:rRNA from 1 species
GACGAACGCUGGCGGCGUGCUUAACACAUGCAAGUCGAACGGAAAGGCCCUGCUUUUGUGGGGUGCUCGAGUGGCGAACGGGUGAGUAACACGUGAGUAACCUGCCCUUGACUUUGGGAUAACUUCAGGAAACUGGGGCUAAUACCGGAUAGGAGCUCCUGCUGCAUGGUGGGGGUUGGAAAGUUUCGGCGGUUGGGGAUGGACUCGCGGCUGAUCAGCUUGUUGGUGGGGUAGUGGCUUACCAAGGCUUUGACGGGUAGCCGGCCUGAGAGGGUGACCGGCCACAUUGGGACUGAGAUACGGCGCAGACUCCUACGGGAGGCAGCAGUGGGGAAUAUUGCACAAUGGGCGGAAGCCUGAUGAAGAAACGCCGCGUGCGGGAUGCCGGCCUUUGGGUUGUAAAAAGCUUUAGCCUGUGACGAAGCGUGAGUGACGGUAAUGGGUAAAGAAGCACCGGCUAACUACGUG